rnacentral:rRNA from 1 species
UUAUACGAGAGACCCAAAUUGAUAAAAAACGGCGUAAAGCGUGGUUAAGAAGAUAAAAAUAUACGGUCAAACAGCCUCAAAGCAGUUAUACGCACUCGAGGUCACGAAGAACAAUUACGAAAGUAUCCCUAAAACCUCUGACUCCACGAAAACCACAAAACAAACUGGGAUUAGAUACCCCACUAUGUGUGGUCGUUAACAUCGAUGGUUUUGUACUAGACCAUCCGCCUGGGA